AUUGAACGCUGGCGGCAGGCCUAACACAUGCAAGUCGAACGGUAGCACAGAGAGCUUGCCCUCGGGUGACGAGUGGCGGACGGGUGAGUAACGUCUGGGAAACUGCCCGAUGGAGGGGGAUAACUACUGGAAACGGUAGCUAAUACCGCAUAACGUCGCAAGACCAAAGUGGGGGACCUUCGGGCCUCACACCAUCGGAUGUGCCCAGAUGGGAUUAGCUAGUAGGUGGGGUAAUGGCUCACCUAGGCGACGAUCCCUAGCUGGUCUGAGAGGAUGACCAGCCACACUGGAACUGAGACACGGUCCAGACUCCUACGGGAGGCAGCAGUGGGGAAUAUUGCACAAUGGGCGCAAGCCUGAUGCAGCCAUGCCGCGUGUAUGAAGAAGGCCUUCGGGUUGUAAAGUACUUUCAGCGGGGAGGAAGGCGGUGGAGUUAAUAACUUCACCGAUUGACGUUACCCGCAGAAGAAGCACCGGCUAACUCCGUGCCAGCCGCCGCGGUAA
rnacentral:rRNA from 1 species